rnacentral:tRNA from 1 species
GCGGAUGUAGCUCAGCUGGUAGAGCGCAACCUUGCCAAGGUUGAGGUCGCAGGUUCGAAUCUUGUUAUCCGCUCCA